UGGGGAAUUUUGGACAAUGGGCGAAAGCCUGAUCCAGCAAUGCCGCGUGUGUGAAGAAGGCCUUCGGGUUGUAAAGCACUUUUGUCCGGAAAGAAAUCCUUGGCUCUAAUACAGUCGGGGGAUGACGGUACCGGAAGAAUAAGCACCGGCUAACUACGUGCCAGCAGCCGCGGUAAUACGUAGGGUGCAAGCGUUAAUCGGAAUUACUGGGCGUAAAGCGUGCGCAGGCGGUUUGCUAAGACCGAUGUGAAAUCCCCGGGCUCAACCUGGGAACUGCAUUGGUGACUGGCAGGCUAGAGUAUGGCAGAGGGGGGUAGAAUUCCACGUGUAGCAGUGAAAUGCGUAGAGAUGUGGAGGAAUACCGAUGGCGAAGGCAGCCCCCUGGGCCAAUACUGACGCUCAUGCACGAAAAGCGUGGGGAGCAAACAGGAUUAGAUACCCUGGUAGUCCACGUCCUAAACGAAUGUCAACUAGUUGUUGGGGAUUCAUUUCCUUAGUAACGUAGCUAACGCGUGAAGUUGACCGCCUGGGGAGUACGGUCGCAAGAUUAAAACUUAAAUGAAUUGAC
rnacentral:rRNA from 1 species